rnacentral:rRNA from 1 species
UACAGAGGGUGCGAGCGUUAAUCGGAAUUACUGGGCGUAAAGCGUGCGUAGACGGUUUCGUAAGUCGGGUGUGAAAUCCCCGGGCUCAACCUGGGAAUUGCAUUCGAAACUGCGAGGCUAGGGUACGGAAGAGGGAAGCGGAAUUUCUGGUGUAGCGGUGAAACGCGCAGAUAUCGGGAGGAACACCGGUGGCGAAGGCGGCCUUCUGGACGGAUACUGACGCUGAGACGCGAAAGCGUGGGGAGCAAACAGG